rnacentral:rRNA from 1 species
AUUGAACGCUGGCGGCAUGCCUUACACAUGCAAGUCGAACGGUAACAGGUCUUCGGAUGCUGACGAGUGGCGAACGGGUGAGUAAUACAUCGGAACGUGCCCAGACGUGGGGGAUAACGAGGCGAAAGCUUUGCUAAUACCGCAUACGAUCUAAGGAUGAAAGCAGGGGACCGCAAGGCCUUGUGCGUUUGGAGCGGCCGAUGGCAGAUUAGGUAGUUGGUGGGAUAAAAGCUUACCAAGCCGACGAUCUGUAGCUGGUCUGAGAGGACGACCAGCCACACUGGGACUGAGACACGGCCCAGACUCCUACGGGAGGCAGCAGUGGGGAAUUUUGGACAAUGGGCGAAAGCCUGAUCCAGCAGUGCCGCGUGCAGGAUGAAGGCCUUCGGGUUGUAAACUGCUUUUGUACGGAACGAAAAGGCUCUGGCUAAUACCUGGGGCACAUGACGGUACCGUAAGAAUAAGCACCGGCUAACUACGUG